CUGGAUGGCAGAGUGGUUAUGCAGCGGACUGCAACUCCGUGUACGCCGGUUCGAUUC
rnacentral:tRNA from 14 species